AAUAUUGUCUGCUUUAGGUCCACU
rnacentral:miRNA from 1 species